rnacentral:rRNA from 1 species
AACGAACGCUGGCGGCGUGCCUAACACAUGCAAGUCGAACGUGAAAGGGACUUCGGUCCUGAGUAAAGUGGCGCACGGGUGAGUAAUGCAUAGGAACAUACCUACGGGUGGGGAAUAACUGCGGGAAACUUCAGCUAAUACCCCAUGAAGUCGUAAGACCAAGGGGGCGUCCGCAAGGAGCUCUCGCCGGUAGAUUGGCCUAUGUCCCAUUAGCUAGUUGGUAGGGUAAAGGCCUACCAAGGCGACGAUGGGUAGCUGGUCUGAGAGGACGAUCAGCCACACUGGAACUGGAACACGGUCCAGACUCCUACGGGAGGCAGCAGUGGGGAAUCUUGCACAAUGGGCGAAAGCCUGAUGCAGCAACGCCGCGUGGGUGAAGAAGGUCUUUGGAUUGUAAAGCCCUUUCGGUUAGGAAGAAGGGACAUUGCAUUAAUACUGCAGUGUUCUGACGGUACUAGAAGAAGAAGCACCGGCUAAUUCCGUGCCAGCCGCCGCCGUAACAC